UGUAUUCUAUUCUAUUUUUUCUGCAUCAUUAAGAUAUGGUUUUAUGUACCAUGUCGGUAAUUUUCGUAGGAAAUAAAAAUGAGGUUCAAAAACGGCAUUCAACCUAAAUGUCAAAUCUGAUCUUCAGAAUCUAAAAAGUUUGGAUUAUUUGAUAACUUGUUUAAAAAUUUUGCAUGCCAAUCCUGAAAAACUCGAAGUGGUAUGAAUGUAUCAUUGGGCCGCAGGUCACCUAACCCAAUGGAGUUGGGAGGAAGUUGAGAUGUCGCAAAGCUUGCUAGGAAAUUAUAUAAGUUGGUUAAAAUUUUUUGGGCAACAGAAGUUACGGGAGGUAAGGGUUUGGCGAUGACAUUCGAUGCUGAAGUGCUUACAGCUGGUGUUUCUGUGAAAUUGGUCAAAGGCUCUACACUAAUACCUAACAUGGCAGUAAUUCCAACGCAAUUUUCAUUUUCCGAAAGAGUUUGUAUGGUGUUUUUUAAACGGAAAAUUGCACUAGGCUUUUCGUUUGUCAAAUAACCUAAAAAUUGAAAAGGCUUUCCAGGCCAUUGAAAGUAAACCUUAGCACCCAUUCCGACUGGGAAUGGAGAGUUUGGCAAAAGAAAAACCACAAUGUGAUUCAAGCUUUCCGCAGAGUCUAGUUGGAAGACAAAUUGAUUAUCGGCGACUUGUUGCAAAUUCGUUUGCACUAGAUUGUG